AGAAUCCUUUAGGAUGAUUAGGGUAUUUGUUUUAUUUUGAUUUCAGGAUCUACGAGUAGAAGUUAUUAUUAUUUCAUUUAAGCUGAAAAAGGGUCCAGUUUAAUUGGGUGUUAAUUGAAUUUCAAAACACAAUUUGGUUAUGUUUGUAAAUAUUUAUGUCAAUUUAGGUUUGGUUGAGUUUGUAUUUGGGAAUUGCAUCAAUUUUUGACUAAACCAGCUCCAAGGGGCCUCCGGAGUUAACUGGACUGAAAAAGAGUAGAGAUAUAAAGCGGUGGGUUCAAAAGAUGGGUGUCGAGAACUACCACGUGAUUGAGCUUGUAGGCGAAGGUUCCUUUGGGAAGGUAUUCAAGGGAAGGCGAAAGCACACGGGUCAGACUGUUGCGAUGAAAUUCAUUAUGAAGCAUGGCAAAAGCGACAAAGAUAUCCACAAUUUAAGACAAGAAAUUGAGAUCCUAAGAAAGUUGAAGCACGAAAACAUCAUUGAAAUGCUUGAUUCAUUUGAAAGCCCACAAGAGUUCUGUGUUGUCACAGAAUUUGCACAAGGUGAACUAUUUGAAAUUCUUGAGGAUGAUAAGUGCCUUCCUGAAGAACAAGUUCAAGCUAUUGCAAAGCAGCUGGUGAGAGCAUUACAUUAUCUGCAUUCCAACCGUAUCAUCCAUCGUGACAUGAAACCACAAAACAUUCUCAUUGGUGCUGGUUCUAUUGUUAAGCUCUGUGAUUUUGGUUUUGCACGUGCAAUGUCCACAAACACUGUUGUUUUGCGAUCCAUUAAAGGUACUCCUCUGUACAUGGCGCCUGAACUAGUACGGGAACAACCCUACAACCACACUGCAGAUCUGUGGUCUCUAGGAGUAAUAUUAUAUGAAUUAUUUGCAGGCCAGCCUCCAUUUUAUACAAACUCUGUAUAUGCACUCAUCAGGCACAUUGUUAAGGAUCCAGUUAAAUAUCCUGACAACAUAAGUCCAAGUUUUAAAAACUUUCUUAAGGGAUUGCUUGAUAAGGUGCCUCAAAAUCGAUUGACUUGGCCAGCUCUUCUGGAACACCCAUUUGUCAAAGAGACACCUCCCGAACUGGAGUCUAGGGAAAUGCGUUCUGCAACUACUGCAGAAAGGGGAUGUGUUGUGGCAUGGAGGGGUGAAGGAAACAAAGUUCAAACAUCAGAUGGUCUGGCUGUUUCAUCUCCUGUCCACUCUCCAGCUUCUUCAGAGAACAACAGUGGGAUAUGUUUUCAGAAUGAUGCUCAAGCAAAUACUCCUGAAUCCACAACAGUCAAUUCUUCCCCAAAUGAGUUCCCAGGAUUCACAAAUCCUAGUGAAGUCAAACAGUCAGGUUGCCAAAUUUUGGACAGAUUGGAAAAUAACUCUCGUACAGUUAAGGGUGCACAAAUAAUAAGUCAGGAUAAUGAAGCAUUAGCACAUGUUUUGUUACCACUAAAAAGAUGCUCCAAUGGACCCCCAGAUUCUUGCAGGGAUGAAGAUAUUCUUAAUUCAAACCAGUCUUUGAGAAUUCUUUCAAACUUAGUUGCAGCUGGUGCCUUCCAUUCCAGCGAGCUGCUUGAUGAAAUAAUACAUGAACUUCUUGCUUACUCUGCCAUCAUUGUGAGCAUGAAAUCUUCUGAAGUAAAUGAGUUAAAAGCGAAGAGUUUCUCAAUAAUUAAAAUUUUGGUUGACAAUGCUGGAAGCAGCAUUGGUGGCUCAUAUUUCAGGCACUGGGUUGUCUUAUCAGAUAUUUUUUCACAGGUUGUUGGUUGUAGUGAAGAUGCAUCUGGAAGAGUUUUGUAUGAGUCCAUUGCUUGCAUUGCUGUCAUGCUAAGAAGAGUCACACAGGGCCUUAAAGCUUUUUCCUCAACUUCAGUUCCUGAGGCAGCUUCUGAUCCUAAUGAAGCACUGAAACAGAUUCUGAAUCACACUAAAACAUCUGGUUUAGUGGACCAACUUUGUCUCUGCUUAGUAACUGCAGGGUCAAGUCUUAUUUCAGGCUCUUCAAAUAUGCUGUGUGCGGCUUGUGAGGCAUGUACGGCAAUUUGGUUUCUGAUAGAUGCAUCAGAAAAUCUUUCUAUGAAAAGAAAUGCCUAUUUAUUCCCCCUAAACACUUUGCGCCGGCCUUCACCCCAACUUGACAUUAGGGAUCAAGAUCAAGAUUCUUUGAUUGGGACAGAAGCAGCAAAACUUGUUGCUGUAAUUACGAGAGCAUUCCUUAGAUCAAAAGCAGUACAAGUUGCUAUUCAUUAUUGCCUUCAUCAACAACUUGAAGCUUCGCUAUAUGCUGGCGUUCAGUUACUGUUGAGGUGCUGCUUAGAUAAUGGAAUUGUUCCGGGUGUUCUCUGUGGCCUGCCUAGUUCCCUACCUGUAACUACGGUUGUUAGUGGUGGAGGUGAUGGAACCAUUAUUUCAGAGAUAUUCUCUUUGUUGUCUUUGUGCAUUUCAUCUCAAAAUAAAGAUCCCCAAGCAAUUGAAACAGCCACCUUCAAGAACAAAUUAACCAAUCCCACUACCUUGGUUCUGCAUUCAUGCCUCAUCCUUGCAACAGUUGCACAAUGUUUGAAGGCAACUGGAAGAAAUUCUGCACUAUUUAUGCUAACAACAUCUCCAAAGAAGCAGCUUUCUCGACUUUCUGUUCUUGCUCAUCAUUUUUCUUCUGAUGAGAGCAAAAGUGCCUCCAUUCAAGCUCAUGCUGCAUCGGCCAUGCUAGCACUGGCUUCCAUUUUGUCCCUUGAAUCUGGCAGUUCUGUUGAGUCUUCUAUCCUCGAGGUAGCAGUGCCUUUGAUUCCUAGAAAUGCCACACUAUGUGAAUACCUGAAGCUUUCAUCAGGCAAUGGAAUUGAAUUGCAUUCGAAUGGCCCUAGUGGUACUCUCUCAUAUUGGCAUGGUCUAAGGGAUGGAUGUGUUGGCUUGCUGGAGUCUAGACUGAGGUGGGGAGGACCCUUAGCUGUUAAACAGCUGUGUGCAAGCAAUAUCCCUCUGCUUCUAGUGGAUUUGUUAGCCAACAACCAACCAGAAGUUGGUAGCACCAAUGAUCAAGUUGGGCUUACCCCUAUAGGAGUCAUAUGGACAAUAUCAUCAAUAUGUCACUGCCUUUCAGGUGGCGCCUUAACUUUUCAUCAGAUUCUGCUUAGACGUAAUCAUAUCAAGCCCAUCUCUGACUUGAUAGCUGAUAUGCAUCUCAAGCUUGUAAAGUCUUGGGUUGGGCCUGGUGGAGGGAAAGAUGGUGUAAGAGAUAUAACAAAUGCAGUAAUUGAUGUCUUGGCCUUUCCUUUUGUGGCCGUACAGAAUGCUCCAGAAUUGCCAUCAGCCACUGCUUCAGUUAAUAGCGGGGCCCUUCUCAACCUGGGUUCACCAGGGCUGAGAGUUGGCAUGGAAGACAAAGACAUGGUGAAAGUAAUUGAAGAAGACCUUGGGAAGUAUAUUAAAAACCUUUUUGAGGUAGGAGUGCCAGGCAUCGUUGUUUGGUGUUUAGGACACUUGGAUUUAAAGGACAUGGGAAGACCGGUGGCCUUUCUUGCAAAAAUGGUUGGUUACCAACCAUUGGCAUUUCAAAUUGUGGGUAAAGGCUUGCUGGAUCCUAAAAGGAUGAGAAGAUUGCUGGACCAUUCUAGUCCAAGAGAGGUGAUGCUGGAUGUUCUGAUGAUUGUUUCUGAUUUGGCUCGCAUGGACAAGGGAUUCUACAAGUACAUUAAUGGAGCAUCUGUAUUGGAGUUCUUCAAGGAAUUUCUCACCCAUGAAGAUCCUAAUGUGCGCUCCAAGGCUUGCAGUGCACUAGGAAAUAUGUGCCGGCACAGCUCCUACUUUUAUAGUUCCCUGGCAAGGAAUCAAAUCAUUGAUCUCCUUAUUGAUCGAUGUACUGAUCCAGAUAAACGGACACGAAAAUUUGCUUGCUUUGCUAUUGGCAAUGCUGCCUACCAUGACAAGAUGUUAUAUGAAGAGCUACGAAGAUCCAUACCCUCUCUUGCGAAUUUGUUGGUUUCGUCUGAAGAAGACAAGACUAAAGCAAAUGCAGCAGGUGCACUAAGCAAUCUUGUCCGCCACUCUGAUCAGCUUUGGGAAGACAUUGUAUCCAAAGGAGCCAUGCAGUCUUUACUGAAGUUGGUGGCUGAUUGUUCGGUGGUAGCACUGAACCCGCCGAGUAGAAAAGAUUCAGUAAACGAGUCACCUCUUAAAAUAGCUCUGAUUGCAUUGGCAAAUAUGUGUUCGCAUCAGCCUUGCAGACAAUUCCUCGGUUCAUCACCGUUGUUCACUGUGAUUGGACAGCUUCGGCAGUCUCCGGAAUCAACAAUUGCCAAUCAUGCCUCCCUGAUAUUCGCCAAAGUUGCUGAUUCCUGAUACAAAAUGAGGCUCAUUACCACUAAUCAGCUGUCGCCUUCACCGGAGAAUUUCGAAAAUGGGGCAUGCAAAUGCAAGAAGGUUUGCAGAUUUUGAGGUAUGCGGUGUGGUUGAUAAGAUAACGUCUCAAAUGCCGCGUCGCGAAUUGAGUGGUCGAGAGAGUAUCGGUGAAAAGGAGAUGGCCAUCGUACAACUUUCGAGUUUGCACUCUUUUUCUUCUUUCUUUUUUAUUUUUAAUACGUUGGACUUCAAAUUUGUGGGAAAGUGGGGGCCAUGUGUGCAAAUGUUGGUGUAUUUUUUUAAGAGAAAUACUUGGACAAGUCUCUUUGAUUUUGAUAGUUUUAGGAUAGAAGACGAUCAAUUAAACUAAAAUGUAAAUAACCUGAUUAUUUUUAGUAUUAUGGUUUAAUGGUAUUUCUUUUUAUUUGUAAAUAAGAGAUCUUAUAUUUGAUUUUCGCUUAA